CCAUGGCGCCUGUUUAUCAAAAACAUGGUUUUUUGUAUUUAUAGAAAAUCUGGUCUGCUCACUGCUAGUAGUAAAUAGCCGCAGUAUUUUGACUGUGCUAAGGUAGCAUAAUCAUUUGCCUUCUGAUUAAAGGCUAGUAUGAAUGAUUUAACGUGAUAAAACCUGUCUCUAGAAAGGAAUUUGAAUUUAAUUAGUUAGUAAAAAGGCUACUAUAAUUCUGUGGGACGAUAAGACCCUAUUAAGCUUAAUUUUUGAAUUUUACUGGGGCGGUAAUUUAAGAUUAGAAACUUAAAUGUAAGGGAUAUAGUAUUAAGACCCAAUAAUAUUGAGUUUAGGAAAAAGCUACUAUAGGGAUAACAGCUUUAUUUUUUUAUUGAGCUCUUAUUUUAAAAAAAGUUUGUGACCUCGAUGUUGAAUUAAAGAUUCUGCUUGGUGGAGCAGCUAAGCCAGAAAGUCUGUUCGACUUUUAAUUCUUUACGUGAUCUGAGUUCAGACCGGCCAUGGG
rnacentral:rRNA from 1 species